rnacentral:rRNA from 1 species
AGCCAGACUCCUACGGGAGGCAGCAGUGGGGAAUAUUGGGCAAUGGACGCAAGUCUGACCCAGCAACGCCGCGUGAAGGAAGAAGGCUUUCGGGUUGUAAACUUCUUUUAAGGGGGAAGAGCAGAAGACGGUACCCCUUGAAUAAGCCACGGCUAACUACGUGCCAGCAGCCGCGGUAAUACGUAGGUGGCGAGCGUUAUCCGGAUUUACUGGGUGUAAAGGGCGUGUAGGCGGGAGUGCAAGUCAGAUGUGAAAACUAUGGGCUCAACCCAUAGCCUGCAUUUGAAACUGUACUUCUUGAGUGCUGGAGAGGCAAUCGGAAUUCCGUGUGUAGCGGUGAAAUGCGUAGAUAUUAGGAGGAACACCAGUGGCGAAGGCGGCUUACUGGACUGUAACUGACGUUGAGGCUCGAAAGCGUGGGGAGCAAACAGGAUUAGAUACCCGGGUAGU